GGGAAUGUAGCUCAUUGGCAUAAGCGCCUGCCUUGCAAGCAGGCAGUCCUGAGUUCAAUCCCCGGUACCG
rnacentral:tRNA from 1 species